CGUCCGUUCUGGGUGUCUCUCUUCGCUGGCGUUUUCCCACGAGAGGAACCUACAAGUGUCAAGGAAAAAAGAACAGCUAACCACAGGGCAGGCCACGGGCAAGAUAUCUCAGUGUUCUCCGCGCUCAGGUCAGGGGAGACUGUCAGGCCAGUGUGGGGACUAAUGAACAAAUGCUACACUACCCACUCAGGUCAUGAUCCCCAGGGGACCUGGAGGACUGAAUGAUGCUGCCCCUGAGGAGGCUGCUGUCUUGUCUUAGGAGGGAGAGCAGGUGAAGUCCCCAUGGGAGGAAGCAUCUAGCCCCAUUCCUGCUGAGCAAGAAGAGGUGGCAGGGACCCCAGACUGGGAGGUAA